rnacentral:rRNA from 1 species
UUGAAAGGGAAACGAUUGAAGUCAGUCAUGCCGACGGGAGUCAACUUAGGGGAAACUCUGAGUGCACUUCUCCGUAUGGUAGGUCAACGUCGGUUUUGGUCGCCAUAAAAUGAUCGGAGGAAUGUAGCUUCGACCUCGGUUGAAGUGUUAUAGCCUUUGGUAAAUGUGGUGAUUAGGACCGAGGAUUGCAACGAAUACCUUUUAGGCUAUCCGUCUGACCUCUGAAAGUUACUUAGGUGCCGAAAGCUUGCUUACGGNNNUUUAAGUUGACGGUCAAUAGGUUAGAACGUGAUNNCAUUCGUUAAGGAUGUUGACGUA